rnacentral:rRNA from 1 species
UACGCAGGGUCCGAGCGUUGUCCGGAAUUACUGGGCGUAAAGAGCUCGUAGGUGGUUUGUCGCGUUGUCCGUGAAAACUCACAGCUUAACUGUGGGCGUGCGGGCGAUACGGGCAGACUGGAGUACUGCAGGGGAGACUGGAAUUCCUGGUGUAGCGGUGGAAUGCGCAGAUAUCAGGAGGAACACCGGUGGCGAAGGCGGGUCUCUGGGCAGUAACUGACGCUGAGGAGCGAAAGCGUGGGGAGCGAACAGG